rnacentral:lncRNA from 1 species
UGGCCACGUUCAGCAGGAGGGAGCCAGGACUUCUGGCAGGACCCAUGUGAGGAUUCCAAGUUUGCCUCAUCAACUUUGGAUCACGCAGACCUACAAUCAGCUCCAACCACACAGGGCCCACGUUCAAUUCGAAAAAUGAAAUAAACUAAAUCUCCGGAGGCAUGAGCAGUUGCAAGGAAGAUUUCUAGGUUUUUGCUGUCAAUCUUUAGCAAAAUCACCACUA